GAUGAACGCUGGCGGCGUGCUUAACACAUGCAAGUCGAGCGAUGAAGUUUCCUUCGGGAAACGGAUUAGCGGCGGACGGGUGAGUAACACGUGGGUAACCUGCCUCAUAGAGUGGAAUAGCCUUCCGAAAGGAAGAUUAAUACCGCAUAAUGUUGAAAGAUGGCAUCAUCAUUCAACCAAAGGAGCAAUCCGCUAUGAGAUGGACCCGCGGCGCAUUAGCUAGUUGGUGGGGUAACGGCCUACCAAGGCGACGAUGCGUAGCYGACCUGAGAGGGUGAUCGGCCACAUUGGGACUGAGACACGGCCCAGACUCCUACGGGAGGCAGCAGUGGGGAAUAUUGCACAAUGGGGGAAACCCKGAUGCAGCAACGCCGCGKGAGUGAWGAAGGUUUUCGGAUCGUAAAGCUCUGUCUUUGGGGAAGAUAAUGACGUACCCA
rnacentral:rRNA from 1 species